GAGCCAUNAGNUCAGNUGGUAGAGCAUCUGACUUUUAAUCAGAGGGUCAGAGGUUCGAAUCCUCUAUGGCUCA
rnacentral:tRNA from 1 species